rnacentral:lncRNA from 1 species
CCGGCGUGGGGAAUCGAAGGUGGUGCCGUGAUAAGUUCAUUCCGCGCUUGUAUAUUUGCGGUGUUUAUUGAUAUUAUGUGUGCCAAUCAUCGUUGUCAGUCGUCGACUGGAAGUGUAUCGCGUGUGGGAUGGAAUGGGCGGCCAAAGGUGUGUCAAGAUUUUGUGUUGGUGUUCUGUGGUGUGUCGUCGUAGCCUCAACGGGCUCGUCGCUUUGUCUGCGCGCUCAGCGCUGCGUGAUCGGCGUGCUUUCCACGUUUCUUGAUUACUCACGGUUAUUGCGUGGUUCAAUCGAGUGCAUCUACUCAGACAGUCCACCGCCCAGUGCCUUGUCUGACGACGACGGCGACUGUAAAGCACAAGCGUGCGCCUCAGCGGAUGCCUAGGUAAGGCAGCCCGGGUGGCGUGUUUACACAGCAGUGAUGAUGUACGAGAAAAGUUGUCUGAUAGGCAAGUAUGGAUUCUGCUACAGAAUGGCCCACGAACCCAACUUCCGAGCGGCACGCCUACCGGCCGAACAUCGGAGUGACCCGCCUGUGCGCAGCUUGAUCUGCCUACCACGCGUCGGCCUUGGUCAUCAUCUCACCGGCCUCGCCUUUCAUCUCUACCACCUGGAAAGCCGGCGUGGCCGACGGAGCAUAGACGACUGACUGUUCAAGGAACUGAAGCAGUGGACAGCUUGCUGUGAAAGAUGGGAGCAUUCUUUCUCUGGUCUGGACAAGCCCAUAUUAAGUGGGAGAUGUUCAAUAUCAACCCGAUGAGAGGCAGCAAAUGUGGAAAUGGACGCAAGUCAAGGACAGCUGCAGACAGCAAAAUAUUGAAACUGAUACAACGAUUGUGCUGAAUCACCGAAGAUAUGAGCCAGAGUGCGAACAGUAUACUCGUACAGUUUCGCAGAAUAAACCCCAUCUUUAUGCGUUCAGAGC